UCCAGAUCUCUGCAGCUCGUGUGCACUGUGCCGGGCCCGAUGCAAGGCUGCGCGGCUUGCACUCAAACCUCCUUGGGGUUCUGUCAACUUCUCCCGACGGCGGCGGUUGGGGAAGAUCCAGGACGGUCACGGUCCGGAGCUGCUGCCCACCUCAGCUGAGCGGGACAGUGACCUGAAGAUUGACAAGAAGUGUGUGGAAGCAGGUACCCUUUCCUCUUGAUUGCUGCAUCCCCAGGAGAAAUGCAAAGCGCCUCAGUUCUGAGAGGGACCGAUGAAUGCCCCACACACCCAUUUCCUGGGGCUUUGUGCAGCUUUGGGAAAACCCCGGGCAGCCCCACCCUGCAGAGCACUCCAGAGGCCGUGGGGCACUCACUGGUGGCACCCAGUGUGUGGAGAGCGAAAGGUUGAAAUAACCUUCAGAGACCUCUGAGUCUCUUGAGAACAUAAUGAAUCCUGGAUAUGCAGCUGGCACAAAAACAAGGAUGGUUACUUGUAACGAGAGUGGUUAAAUAGAAAGAGUUCGAAUGUCUGUAAUGCAAGGGAAUGUUAUUCCCGGAGUUGUAAAGAUACAUUUGACCUUUUCCCUGGAAAAUAAUUAGUCGCCGAAUUAUGUACAGAGGAGGGGUUGGGGGUUGUGGAAAAGGUAUAUAAAGGGCAAUAAAGUGGGAAGAGGGGUCUCUCCUCUGCCUCUCUCUCCUUUUUCUUUUCCUCAGAGGUUUUGUUUUUCUUUCAUCCUCUCCCCUCCUCUCAGGUACUGUUCGACUAGUGACGGCUGGCACCGUCACACCAGUGUUCCCGCCGAGUAGCAUCGAAGCCCCGUGUUCUGUGAACAGUGUAAAAUAGUGUGCUGCCGAGUAUUUAAAAAGCAAAGUCAAGGCCAGGGAUUUAGCUCAGUGGUUCCACUGCCUGCCUCUCAAGUGCAAGGUCUCGAGUUUGAUUCCUGGUACCAAAAAACCCAAAACCAAAGAAAGAAAGAAAAAAAAAGCAAAAUGUAUUUUUUUUGUUUCAAAGCUUGAUACUAUCAGAAGAUUCUCGUAUAGAGGAUUUCAAAAUUUUGAGAAAUAUAGAAAAGCUUUUUACAUUUCUAUAUUUAAGGGUUUUUAAAAAGAUCUUUGAAAAGGUUUUUUCAAAUUUAGAAGAGAGGUACUAAAAUGGCUCACAAAUCACCAGGAUUUGGUUAGAAAACUAGUUGGAGGACAUUAGUCUGACAGGUUCAUUUGUCUUGGCUUUUUACUGUGUCUGGCUUUGAGAAAUGAAGGAACUAUUGGAAUGAGCCACAUAUGUUUCCCAGAAUAACUACAGAAUUCUAUCAGAAUACUUUAUUCUACCAAGUGCACAUACUGAUUUUUUUGUUGUUCUUUUUUUUUUUUUGGUACCAGGGAUUGAACUCAAGUCCUUGCGCUAGCAAGUUAGGUGGUGUAACCACUGAGCUAAAUCCCGGCCCCCACACACUGGUUUUUAAGCCUUUAACAUAAUAUGCACUUCAUUUCAAAUUUGAAUUAAAAUUUUAUUAAGUAAUUCAUUCACAGAGUUCAAAAUUCAAACCCUAAAAAAGCACAUUCAAUACGAAGCCCCUCGCUUCCUCCUCUGACCCCAUGUUCUCUCUGAAGCUUGUGGAUGCUGUACCCACCUGUGUUCUCUGCACGUCUCACAUGCACACUGCCUGCACCUCACUUUUAAUUCGUGUAUCUUGAAGGUGAUUCUGUUAGUACAGAGCCCUUUAUCUUUUUUUAACAGUUUAUUGUAUACAAAUUACUUUUUGUAGAGAUGUGAGUUAUGUCCGUUUUUUUCUACUAAGAGCAGUAUUACAAUGAACAGCUUCACGAGUAUGUCAUUUCACACACUCACAGUCUAUCUCAGAUUUUGCUGCGUAUUUCAAAUUGACCCCAUAUAAAUCCUGGUGUCGUAAUCCUUAAUCUCUUUUUAAAAUGGUAACAGGAGUUUUUUGUUUUUGUUUUUUGCAGCACCGGAGAUCAAACUCAGGACCUUGUGCUUGUGAGGCAGGUGACAGAACCACUGAGCUAAAUCCCCAGCCCUACUUUUUUUUUUUUUUUGAACUCACUAUGCAUUCCAGGCUGGUCUUGAACUCACAGCAAUCCUCCUGCCUCAGCCUUCUAAGUGCUGGCAUUACAGGCAUGCACCACCACACCUGGCAACAGUUGUUCUAACAGGUGCCAAAGAUGGUUUAUGUUUUGUCUUCCUCAGUCACCUGAACAAACCCACCCCAAGCUGUCCACCCCUCCUCGUCUCAGUCGGGGACCCUGGCUCUGCAGGCAGCACCACCUGCUGGACUUUCCUGAACAUUCAACUUUUCCCUUCCCUCUGAGCUGCUUUUAAAAUUUUAUUUAUUCUCCCCUAUUACUUUAUUUAUUGUUCUGAGCUCUUAUUACACCCUGUCAUCAUGCCCACUGUACUGUGACUCAACCUUGAGCUAAGAAACACAUUUUGAGGUGUGUGGUGGAACAGGUCAGCAGUUAGGCUGCUGAGAUGUAGGUAGACUCAGCAUGGACAGUAAUGAAAGGACGUUCUUGUUUUCUGCCUCCAUGGAAAACCAUAGAUGAAGAAGCAUUUGAAUCUGGUAAAUUAAAAAUUAAUAUUGUAUUUGGUGCUGCUUUUUAAAUGUAUAUUUCAUAUUUUGCUAUAAUUUAAACAUUUAAGGAUGUUACACAAUAAUUGAGUGCAACAGUGAAAUAAAAUAAGAAUAAAAAUAAACAUGGGAGAUUGUUAGUUUGCUUCAUAUAGUAACAGUGUGGUAUCUGUAUGUAUGCUGUAACAUUAGGUUGCAAACCUCAAACACACAUAAUAAAAUUUAUUUUUAAAAUUGCCAGACAUGGUGGAUUAUAGGCGCACACCUAUAAUCCCAGUACUUGGGAGGCUGAUGUAGUGGGAUCACUGUAAGUUUGAGGCCAGCCUGGACUACAUAGCGAGGCCUUGUCUCUAAAACAAACAAAAAGUGCAAUAAAGGCUGCAGUUGUGAGACAGAAAGCUUGGAAGUGCUGUCCAGGCGGGGCACCAGCUCUGCGUGAGCAGAGUGGGCGUGCCCAGCAGGGCCAGUGUGCGAGACCUCCUCGGUGACCGCUGUCUCUUGACAGAUGCCUUCCUGCUGGCCAAGC
ensembl:lncRNA